rnacentral:lncRNA from 1 species
GUGUUCUUAACCCACAGCGGAUGGAACUCGACCUUGGAGAGUGUAUAUGCAGGAGUACCCAUGAUUUGUUGGCCUGCAAUUGGUGACCAACAAAUCAACAGCAGGUUCGUGAGUGAUGUGUGGAAAAUCGGUCUUGACAUGAAAGAUACCUGUGACAGAUCAACGAUUGAGAAAAUGGUGAGAAGCCUGAUGGAGGAUAAAAGAGAAGAGAUCAUGAAAUCAGUGAAUAAGAUUAAGAAGCUGGCUCAUGAAACUGUCAAGGAUGGGGGCUCUUCUUUCUCCAACCUUGAGAAAUUGAUUGAUGACAUUUGGUCACUGAGUCAUUUUGCUCGGAAGGAAAGAAGUGACUAGAAGGCAUUAGCAUUUCACCAGUUAUAAAACAAUGUAUCCUAAAUAAUAAAUGUUAGUAGGCAUCCUAUAAAUAUUAUUGAAAUCUAUAUCAACAAACGAUUCAACAAAACUCUCUAUUGCUAAAUCUUUCUCGACAAUUAAUGUCUUUUUUUAUUAUAUAUGUCAAUCUUCUUGUUAUCGACAAAUUCAUACUUGGGAUGAGCAUGUUCGAAUUUAUUACAAGAAAAGAAUUAAUUUUGUUACAUAUAAGUUGAAAAUUGUACAAUGAAACCAACAGUUGCAGCUAGAGCCUAGAGAAACAUCAUUAAUGGUGUAAACACUAGCCAUCGGAGUACUAAUGUCAGAGAGAGCAAGUUGAAGUUUAUUUCAUUAGUGACUUAGUUAAUUAGAUUUAAAUGCAAAAGAACAAUGGAGAACUCAUCCCUAUGACAAGUGCUCAGUCGGAAGCACUACAGAACAGGUAACAGCAAUGCAAGAGGGCAUAUGGGCAAAAUGUAGUUUUGGCCUCUAACUCAUACCACCAUUCUCUUCUUAAAUAAUAAUAAUAAUAAUAAAGGAAAGAAGUGCACACAUGAAGGAAGAAAGAUCAGAAACUUCUUGAAUUAGAAAGAAGAACAAAAAUAUGACUCAUCCAUCAUAAAUGAGUUGUUCAUGAAGUUUUUUUUUUUCCUUUUUUGAGAAUUUCUCAUCUUUCAUCUUUCCUUUGUCUGUUAUGUGAAUAAUCUUUUAGUCCAAUGCAAUAUAUAUGUAUAUAAGUCAUCAUAAAUUUGCAAAGUGUUGCUCAAUGUUGUGAACAGAUAAAGUGGCUUGAACAUUUUAAGUAGAAUUUUGAAUAUUCUGAACAGUAUAUACUUAGUUUACAGUAUUUCUUUUAAUUGAAUAUUGCUAAGAAGGAAGAACAGAACCCAUCAGCGGUCGUUAAUGUUGAUAAAUUAUGGAGGAUGAAAAUAUGGCUCAUGUUAGGAAGCGUCUCUUUUAGGUUGAGUAGAACAGGGAUGAAUAGAGUAUUUGCAAAAUGAAAGAAAAAGCACACACUUCAUUCAUAAUCCAAACCAUAUAUACAGCCUACUAGCUACUUGGUAGUUAUAAGGAAUUACAAGUAAACGCAUGAUAAAAAAUAACUAAAUACAACAUCACGUUUUCAACUUCCACGUACAAGUCGUGCUGCUAUUUUCAACUGACUGUAACUUGUUGCCAGCAUUAUUAGCAACACUCCUCCUUAAUGCUUGCAACCUGAAUCAUCAACUUAUCUUUGUUAAGUUCAAAACUUGACUUAGACUGAGGCUUGGUCAUUAUGUUUGCAACCUGGUCUUCUGAUUUGCAGUAUUGCACAAGUAUCUCCCCUUUCUUUUCUGCAUCUCUGAGGGCAUGGUACUUGAUGUUGAUAUGCUUGGUUCUUCCAUGAAACACAGGAUUCUUGGUCAUGGAGAUUGCAGACUUGUUAUCAAGAAACAACUUUGUAGGAUUGGUUUGAUCCAUGCCAAGAUCAUGUAGAAUUUUCCUUAGCCAGAUUGCUUGAUUUGAAGCUUCAGCUGCUGCCACAUAUUCUGCCUCAGAUGAGGAUUGUGCCACUGUAUUCUGCUUGUGAGAGUUCCAUGAAAAAGGACCAUUUCUCAGAGAAAAUAUGUAGCCUAAUAUGCUUCUACCAUCAUCAUUGCAGCCACCCCGAUCACUAUCUGAAAAUCCAACAAGCUCAAUAGUCUUGUUUUUUAUGAAAUUUAUCCCAUGACAGGUUGUACUUCUUAAAUAUCUGAAAACCCUUUUAACAGCAACCAGAUGAAGUUGACUUGGUCUCUGCAUGAAUCUUGAGAGAUAACUUACAACAAACAUUAUCUCUGGAUGGGUAGAACAAAUAUAUAGUAGACAUCCUACAAGACUUCAAUAAUCACUGGCACUCUAUAAUAUUUCACCAGAAUUGAGAGAUAACUUUUCAUGUGCAACUAAAGGAGUUGAGGUUGACUUACAUUCUGCCAUCUUGAAACGUUUAAGGACUUCUUGAAUGUAAUUAAUUUGAGAAAGAGUAAUAUUUUCCUUGGACUGAUAAAUUUCAAAACCAAGAAAAUAUUUCAUUUGACCGAAAUCAGACAUGUGAAACUCCUUUUUCAUUGCUGAUUUAAAUUCCCUGAUACUUGCUUGAUCUCCAUUAGUAAUCAAGAUAUCAUCAACAUAAAGAGACAUAAUUACUGCCAUUUCAUUUUUUAUUUUCUUCACAUACAAAGUAGCUUCAUUCAAGCUCUUGUAAAAACCUUGAGCUAAUACGUAGGCAUCAAUCCUACUGUACCAAGCACAUGGUGCUUGUUUCAGGCCAUAUAGUGCCUUAUGAAGCUUAUAUACUUUGUUUUGUUUGUCACCAACUUCAAAUCCUCUUGGCUGCUCGAUGAAUAUUUCUUCAUUGAGUUUACCAAUCAAAAAGGCAGACUUAACAUCGAUGUGGUAGAUUUUCUAAUCAAGUGCAGCAGAGAGAGCUAUGAGAAGUCUGAUGGUAUCAAGUCUUGCCACUGGUGCAAAAGUAUCAUGAUAGUCUAUUCCAGCAAGUUGAGAAUAACCUUUUGCGACCAAUCUCGCCUUAUUUUUGUUAAGGCUUCCAUCAGAGUUGAAUUUUCGUUUGAAAAUCCAUUUGACAUCAAUUACAUGGCCAUUGAUUGGUCUGUUUAGCAAUGACCAAGUAUGGUUUUGCUCUAUCAUGUUAAUCUCCUCUCUCAUAGCUUUUAUCCAUUCUUCAUGUUGUGAGGCAUCUUCAAAAGAAACAGGAUCAGAUAAAACAACUUGACUUCGUUCAUAAAUGUCUUGAAUGGUGCGAGUACCCCUUACUGGUGCUUCAUCAAUAAGCUCAUUUUCAUCUAACUCAAUAUCAAAAAUAUUUUGAAGAACAGAUAAAGUAUUUGUGGCAGUAACUCUGGUAUGUUGAGGUUUGUCCCAGUUUCAAUAGCUUCUUUCAGCAAAUGAUACAUUCUUGCUGACAGAGAUUUUACCAGAAUCAACAUGAUACACUCUGUAUGCCUUUGAAUGCUGACUAUAACCAAUAAACACUCCCAUUACAGCUUUGGAUUGCAACUUAUCUCUGUGCUCUUCAAUUAUAUGCUGGUAACAAAGGCAUCCAAAGACUUUGAGAUGUGAUACAGAUGGUUUUCUUUCAAACCAUACUUCAUAAGGAGUGGUAUUUUUGAGUGCACGAGAAGGCAACCGAUUUAAUAGAUAAAUAGCUAUACUGGCAGUCUCGGCCCAAAAACUUUUGAGAAGUCCUUUUUCCAGCAAGAGACAUCUCACCAUCUCAAUUAUUGUUCGAUUUUUCCUCUCACUAACACCAUUUUGCUGUGGGCAAUAAGGAGUUGUGAAUUGAUGAAAUAUUCCUUCUUUUUGUAGAAAUUGAGUGAACUCUCAAUAUGUGUAUUCUUCACCAUUAUCAGAUCUGAUUGCUUUAAUCUUUCAUUUUGUUUCAGCUUCAACUUGUGCUUUGAAAUUUAAGAAGUGACCAAACACCUUAGACUUUGUUUUCAUAAAGUAAAUCCAGCACAUGCGUGAUAACUCAUCAACAAAGAUCAAGAAAAACUUAUUGCCAUUUAGAGAUACUUCACUCAUUGGGCCUCCAACAUCGAUGUGAACUAGAUCAAGUUUUCCAAUAGAUCGACUUAAGCUUGCAUGAGGAUAUGGAUUCCUGGUAAGUUUUCCAAAUUGACAAGUGCUGCAAACAUGCUUGGAUUCUGUGACUGAUGGUAAAUUUUCCACUAAACCAGAUGUGCUGGCCUGAAUCAAGGAGGAAUAAUUAUAAUGCCCAAGGCGUUUGUGCCAUAAAGAGGUCAAGUUCAUCUCAUUUUCAGAAGCAUGCAGACACACAUCAUUGAAAUUUAUUGGAAAACACUUUUUUUUCAUUGGAACUGUCAUGAGGUACUUAUCUCUUGGAUUAUAUAUCUUGCAAGAAUGGUCUUUAAACAAUAGUGCAUAACCAUCAUCGACCAUCUGUCCCACACUUAAGAGAUUUUGGGUAAUUUCAGGUACAAGAAGUACUUUAAAUGCAUACCUAUCACCAGAAGAGGUUCGUGUCUCCACAGAUCCUUUUCCAGUUGCUUGCAGAUACACCCCAUUACCUAUCUUCACGUACAAUCGGUGUUGAGUGUCAAGUUCUGCGAAGAGCUCUGCAUAUGGUGUUAUGUGACUUGAAGCUCCACUAUCUAAUAACCACUGAUUUGCUUCAACAACUUUUGAUUCUGUUUGAGCCAUCAGAAGUGUUUCUUCAGCAAUCUCAGCUCUCUCAAAUGCUUAAGGUGAUUUCUCUCAAUUUUCAGACUUAUUCUUGCACACCUUUUCUAUAUGACCAUGCUAAUUAUAGAUUUAGCACUUAGCUGAAGAUUUGAACUAGUAGUUGGCUUCUGCAUGGCUAUGUUUUUUGCAAUGGGAACACAUUUGAUGCUUAUUCUUCUUACCUUAUAAUCUACUUGUUUGAGAAUUCUUUUUCCCUCUGUCUUUCUGUUCAUUUGAACUUUUACUGUUGUAAGCAUCAACUGAGCCUUUUCCUUUCAUCUUGGCCAUCAUAGCAUGAUUUGUGUAGCUGUCGAGACGCAUGGCUCUCCUACUAUCUGAUGCUUGGAGAGCAUUGACUACAUCUGUGAGUUGCAGUUGUGGAAGAUCCUUUGAACCUUUAAGUGAUGAAAUUGUGGGUUCAACCCUUUCAGGUAAGGAUAUCAACACUUUCUCUACAACUCUUUUUUCAGGUAGAUUUUCUCCCAAAAGUCUUACUUGAUUGACUAUUUUCAUCACUUUUCCAAUGUACGCAUUCACUGAGUUAGACUCCUUUAUCUGAAGAAUUUCAAAUUCUCUCAUAAGAUUGAGAAUUUGAAGUUUCCUUGUCAUGUCAGAACCUUGGAACUCAUCUCUAAGUUUGUCCCAAGCCUCCUUUGCCGUGGAACAAGCCAUAAUUCUUGCAAACACUGGUUCCGUGACACAUGCAUGGAGAAAGGACAGAGCUCGAUACCGUUCAGCAACUUCUUCCCCAUGUUGUUUGAUUUGAGCAAGUGUUGCUGUUUCUUUCAAGGUAGGGGGUUUUGAACCUGUCUUGACAAUGUCCCAUAAGUCAUAAGCCUGUAAGUAGGCUUUUAUUUUAACUAACCAGGACGAAUAGUUUUUAAAAUUGAAGGUGGGAGGUGACGGGUGUGAAGCUGUAUUGGAGAUAGAUAUAUUACUAUCAAUUUGCAAUGUUGUUAAAGUUGUGAAUUUGGUUGGUGGUAUGUUUCAGGUUUCUCAAGAGCUUAGUUUUAGCUCUGAUACCAUGAUAAAUUAUGGAGGAUGAAAAUAUGGCUUUUAUUAAGAAGCCUCCAUUUUAGGUUGAGUAUAAUAAGGAUGAACAGAGUAUUUGCAAAAUGAAGAAAAAAACACAUACUUCAUUCAUAAUCCAAACAAUAUAUAUAGCCUACUAGCUACUUGGUAGUUAUAAGGAAUUACAAGUGAAAGCAUGAUAAAAAAUAACUAAAUACAGCAUCAUGUUUUCAACUUCCACGCAUAAGUCAUGCUGUUGUUUUCAACUGAUAGUAACUUGUUGCCAGCAUUAUCAACAACAAACGUUAGCCUGUCAAAUAUCAACUAAUUAUUUUCAAGCAUGCCCUUGGGCAUGAAAGAAAAUCUUUACAAAUCCAAGGGGCCAAAUUUGUACACAAACCGAUUCAACCAAGGAAAGAAUAACACAAUUUCAACAUAAAAACACAAACUGAUGCUAUAAUGGAAUGAAUCACACAAUUUCAGCUAUGAAUCACGUAAAUCUGAGGGAGAUCAAAGGAUGACCUGAAACGGCUGAGGAAGAAGUCAGGACCGAGAGAGGUGACCCAGACAUGUAUGAGUUAUUUUGCUCGAAAGGCAACAAGUGAUUAGAAGGCAUUAGCAUUUCACCAGUUGAAACACAGAAGAUCCUAAAUAAGAUGUAUUGAGUUGCAUUAAGACAAAGAACCGAUCACUUUAGAAGUUAUGUUUUGAUUAAUGAAUUGAUAUUUAAAAAUUCAUUCUCCUCUUUCAGAAAGUUGUUCUUUGGGUUUUUCAGAGGCCAAAUUAUGUCAGAAAGCCUCAAGCCUACAGUUCACCAAUAGCCAAACACAAUAGUCAACUUUCUCAACUUUACUUUUAUCCAGUUAGAAAAUUCUGUCAGCUCCAACCAUUGUCAGAGAACCUCAUCAUGUUCCUGUAACUGUAAGAAAGAGUCUCAUUGUCCGUAUACGAUCGGUUUGAAGCAAAUUAAACUAUUAGCAUCAUUUACACUACUGCAGAUUCGAACCCAAAAGCUAGCAAAAGUGAAAUUCCUUGGGAGAAUCAAAAUGGAGCAAACUCAACCCCGAGCACCACACGUAGUCUUGUUGCCUUUCCCUUCAAUUGGCCACAUCAAACCCUUGCUCAGCCUGGCAGAGCCUCUCAGCCAUGCCAAUUUCCAAGUCACCUUCCUAAACCCUCAACAGAUCCACGAUCGUCUCCUUUUCUCCAUGGAUAUGCUUGCAUUCCACCGUCGGCACCUCGAAUUUGAGUUAUUGUCCAUGCCUGACCCUGUUCGUCCGUCACAUGAUCGUCCACGCCCUGGCCUAUUUAGCCUCCAUGACAAGAUAUUAUCUUUAGGGUCUGUGAUCAAGCUAGCGCUCGGUGAGCUUUUGAUUUCUUCCCUAGUGGGGACGAAUCCCGAUGGACUUGUGUGGAUCCUACGCCCUACCCCCCGAGGUGGGUCUUCAUUAGUAGACUUCCUUGUCUUUAUUAUUGUGUUUACUUAUUAUGAUGAGAUGGGGCUGCAUGCACCAAUUAGAAAGGCUUAAGCACCUAAUUGGAUAGGCGUUAAGUCUUGGAUUACUGACUCUUAGUAUUUGUCUUUACUGCCUUUCACAGUUCUGAUUUUGUUCCUCCUCUGACUCUUGGUCCCCUUAAAUUACGUUGCACGGUUUUUAAACAAAUUUGGGGCUCCAUUAAUUAUAUAUAAAAAAACUUUAAUCAUACUUGUCAUGAUUUCAAAUAUUUUUAAUUAAUUUUUAUAAAUAAAAUGCAUUUUUUAAAAAAGUUAUAUUUAUUGAUUUUAUCAAAUAAAGUUAUCAAAAUAUUCUUAAUUUAAAAAUUAAUAUAUUUAUUUAUAUUUACAAUAAUUUUAUUUAAAAUUAAUAAUAUAACUUUUUCUUAAUACUAGAACUUACUCACAAGAAUUAACAUAAAGUAUUAUGUGAGAAAAACAAUUAAAAUUAUAAGAAAUGUAAGCGGAGUUUACAAAUUAUAUUUUUAAUUUUUAAUUUUUUUACGUUAUAAUAAAUGAUUUCAUGAAGUAAAUGAAAUGAUUGAUUAUUUGAAUUAUUUUUCAACUUUUUUUUAUCACAUUUAAUUUUUUUUAUUUCCCAAGUCCUUGUAUUUUGAAUAUAAAAAAAUAAAAAAACAAUUUUCUCGACAUAAAUAAAUUCUAACAUUUUAAUGUAUUUGGAGUUUUAAAACUUGAUAAUUUCUUAAGAAUUUAGCCUCUUUUCUUAAUAGGUGUAAAUGCAUAAGUAAUUUUUUUUUUGUUUUGAUAACAAAAAACUAAGAUUAAAAAAGUCAUCUUGAUUAAAAAGUUAUAAGAUAAAAAGAGUGUUGACAAUCAUUCAAGAGAUAGAAAAAAUAAACUAAAAUUAAAUGGCCGAAAUAUUCAACAAAGGCUUAUUAACUAUAUAGGCUUUUAAUUAAUUAGUUAUUUAUUUAUUUUUAAAAAUGCAAAGGCAAGCUUUGCCCCACAAAAAUUUUAAAAAAUAAAAUUGUGGGGAAAAUUCUUGGAAGUACAUUUAAUGGGAAUCUUUGUUCACAAUUCUCUUCUUUCUCUGUCCCUCUUUUAGCAUUGUUGUAUUUCAACCUUUCACCUUUGAUGAAAAAAAAAAUAAGAGAGCGUUUAGUACGAGGAAAGUGAGAGCACAUUCUCUGAAAUGUGUCCAAUUAAAUUAUAUUGUCGUGUUUGUUUUGCAACAGAUAACUGUAAUGUAAAAUUGUAAUGCAAUCAAAUUACACUGCACUCUGUAAUAUUUUUAAAUACACUUUUACCCUUCAACUUUAUUACCUUAUUAAAAAAUUUUGUAACGUUAUAAUUAAAAUAAAAUAUAUUAAAAUAAAAUAUAUAAUAUAAAAAUCAAAACUUAAAUUAAAAUAAAAUAUAAGAAAUUAAAAUUUAUAUAAUAUAGGUAAAAGAAAUUAAAAUAAAAUAUAUAAUAUAAAAAAUAUAUUAAAAAUAAAAAAAAGAUUAUAAUAAAAAAUAAAAAUAAAAUAUAUGACAUUAAAAAUAUAUUUAAGAGAUGAUAUUAUAUAAAAAUUAAUAAUAAAAAAUAUAAGUAUAUUAAACUUAUAUUUUAAUAAAUAGGGGUAAUUUUAAAAAUUAACAUUAUAUUCUCAGCAAAGUCCUUGUAAAUCAAAUGCUGCAAUGUUAUCUUCCCUGUAUUUUAAUUAUUAUUUUGCUUCUAUACCAAACACUGUAAUAUUAUUUUCCCUGCAAUCACAUUACCUGUAAUCACAUUGCAUUGUAAAGUACCAAAUGCCACCUAAAGGCAUUAUAGGCGAUUUAACAAACUUUAUUAAAGAUUAAAAGCGAAAAAUAUUUAUUCUAACUUAUUCCUAUCCAAAAAUAACAUAAAAUUCCUUUUAUCUCACCUAUUCGAAAAUCAAAUCUUUCCUUAUUGCAAAUUCUUUUGUCGGGGUUGGUGGGUUAAAGCUAAAAUUGUUACUUAUGAAAUGGUUAAUUCUCCGUAAAGAAAAACAAAUGACGGAAAUGAUUUGAUUAUUAUUUUUUUAAUUUUUUAUAAUAUUUUUAAAUUUUUAUAUUUGAUGUAUUGUUGAUAUUAUAUUAUGAUAAUGUAUUAAAAACCUGUUUGGCCUAACUUUUUUUAACAUAAAAGUUAUUAUUAAGUUCUUAUGAAAAAUAAUAGUUUUUAGAAUUAAGCUAAAGUUGUUUCAUAAACUGUUUAACAAAAUAAAUUAUGUAAACUCUAAUUUCGAUUAGAAUUACCAUAAAAGGUAUUCAUGCUAUCUUCAAUCACUUUAUAAAUUAUAAUGUAAUGCUUUAAGUUUAUAUAUAAUUUCAUAUGUUAAAAUCGAAGAAAUCAAUAAAAAAGGAAUAAUAUUCAAACUUAUAUAGUAGCAAUAGUAUUAUAUUUUUGUUGAUCUAACAAGCAAUCGAACCUUGAUACUUCAAUUCUCAAAAAAUAAGAUAAAAGAGGAAACGAUGUAUUUAAUAUUACAAUCCUUUUUUGUGAAAAAGAGAGAAAAUCUGUAAAUAGUAUCUGAAUACAAUUUUGAAUUUUAAUUUUUUUUUAAUUUUUGUAAGAACAAAAAAAUUUUAGAUUUUGAUAUUCUGUUGUUGGGUCUUCUUUUUUUUAUUAAUUUUUGUAGAGAGAGGUAGAGAAUAGGGAAAUCGUGAUUUAUGUUGAAGAAUAGUAAUUUGUGGAGGGAACGAGAGGAGAGGGAGACUAAUUGAGAGAGAAGUAUUUUUUGAAAAUUAAUGUGUUUUUAAAAGAAUAAAAGAAAAAGCUAUUUCUUGGAGCUUUUUUUUAAGCUUUUUUUUUUAAAUUUUGUUUUAAAAAAAAAGUUAUUUUUUUUAAGAGUUUCUUAAAAUAUUAUAUUUGACUUAACUUUUAAUUUUAAAAAAUAGAUACGUUGAAAAAAAUUAGGCAAAACAUGUACUAAAUAUAAAUCUGGUUGUUUUGUUUAGAGAUUGCUAAAUUGGUAAGGAAUGGGAUUCAUGAAUCCUAAAUAGUUAGAUAAGAAGAUAAAGUAACAAAUCUAAGAUGGAUUCUUUUGGGGUUGUAGUUUUGGCAACUAUCUUUGCAACUUGUUCGACAAAAUCCACUAUAAUAUUGGAAAUACACCAAAUAAAAUGUUAUGAAUUUCAUCAAAUUUUUGUCCAAAAAUAAAAGACAAAUGGUACCCCAUUGAAUGACAGGACAAUUCAGGCAUGAGUGUCAUGUCGGAGGACCAGGGUCCAGCUCUGCACCAUUUGCACUUUGAUCUGUCCCUUUUGACAGGAUGUCGGAUACAACAUAUUUCCUUUUGGGUGUUCAGAUUUUGGUUCAGCCUGAUUGAUUAGCAAGCCCAACCCAACACAUUUAUUAUGUGAAACAGGCCUGAGCAUGUUUAAAGUCCGUUUAGUAAUAAAAAAUAAAGAAAAUUAUCUCAUGAAAUCUUUUAUAAAAAUUUUUCAGGUAAAAUACACAAAUUUCUUCAUUUUUAAACAUAAUUUCAUACGAAUUUAUUAAUUUUUAAAAUAAAUAAUAUAUAAACAACAUUAAUACUUAAAUGUGAAAUAUUUAAAAUAUUUUUUUUACUCUUUUCUUUCUUUUAGAUUGAUGUUUCUUGCCACCAUAUCAGUGCUCCUUGGGGCCAAUGGUCGAUCGGUGAAGGUAGUGUAGGUUUUUUUAAAAAAAUUAUAAAUUUAUAAUUUUUAAAAUUAUUAAAAAGUAAAAUUAUCUUUUUAUUAUUAAUAUGUUAUCAAAUUAACAAAGUUAAUUAACUAUUAGAUUUAUGUGUUUCACAUAGUUAUUUUUUUGAAAAAAAUUUUAUUUUAAAAAUUAAUAAACUCGUAUGAAAUUAUAAUUAAAAAUUAAAAAAUUUAUAAAUUUUAUUCAAAAUUUUAAUAUUUUUUUAUUAUUUAAAUAAACAAUUGAAAAUAUUUAUUAUUAUUUAUAUCAUCUCUUGGGUGCACACCUUGUAUAGUUAGUGGACUCUUUUUAUUGACUAGUAGAAACAGUUUUUUAAAAAAUAUUUUACGUCAAGACGAGCUAUACCUUGCCGCAGCCACGCAACAAACCAAGACAAGUGGAUCCAAAUUAACGUUGGUCUCUGUGCCGCGAGGCCAAAGUCAAACUAAGUAAUGCACAUGCUGGAUCUACUUCACGAUUCUUCUGAAAACCAGGGAGCUAAGGAAAAAUUCCUUCAAAGGAUCAAAAAUGGAACAAGCAGAACCCCAAGUACCCCACGUGGUGUUCUUGCCCAUCCCUGGACUUGGUCACAUCAAACCCAUGCUCAAGCUAGCAGAGCUUCUCAGCCGUGCCAGUUUCCAAGUCACCUUCAUAAACACGCAACGCAUCCAUGAUCGUCUCCUCUCCACCGACUUGCUGGCACGCUACCCUGAGUUUCAGUUCCUGACGAUCCCAGAUGUUGUACCACGUGAUCGUCCACGCUCGGGCACUAUGAGUCCGGGUGAUUUUUUAUUGGCCGCAGGUCCUGUGAUCAAGCCAGCGCUCCGUCAGCUUUUCAUUUCGCUUUGCAAGAAAAAGGGACGGUGGCAGCCUGCUACGUGCAUAAUCGAAGAUGGGAUAUUGUCUUCUUCUGUUAUUGAUGUUGCAGAGGAAUUUCAGGUUCCUGUCUUCGCUUUCCGAACAUCGAGUGCUUGUUGCAUCUGGACUUACUUCCACGUACCUAAGCUCGUUGAAGAAGGGGAUGUUCCAGUGGUACAAGGUUAGUUGGAUCAAAGCAAUUCUCAUCACAUUUUCAGCUAGUAGUUUUCUCAAAGGAUUUCUGGUCUAAGUUACUGGGUUGAUUUUCUCUAAGGAAUAGCAGAAAACUAGAUAAAUCACCAACAAGAAUAAGAUAAUUGUAUGCCUGCUCUGAUAAUCAAAUGGCAAACAAUCAGAUUCUUGAUUACUUGUAUAUAAUUAAGAAAAGAAGUGGCAAGCUAACCACUUACCUUGAUCUGGCAUUCUUGUGGUAUCUCUGUUUUGGAUAAUUGAGAUUUGUAUUUAUCUAAGAAAAGCAGGAAAUUGCCUGCUACAGAGGAAGCAACCUGCAGAAGCAGGAAACAAUGGAAAAGAUGGAACAUCAAACAAAAAUGUUAUCUGCCAAACCCCAAUUUACACUUAGUUCCCUGUUUACAUGAUCAUUAGCAAUGUUGUGUAUCCCAUCAAGCCUGAAUUUAACAGAAUCUAUGAUGCAAUUAAGAAAAAAAAAAACUCUUUAAUGAUUCAUUAUCAUUUAGCUUGGUUUUAACUUGUAUGGUGUUGCAGAUAAAGACAUGGACAAGCCAGUCACUUGCAUUCCAGGACUAGAGAAUGUUGUUCGACGUCGAGAUCUUCCGGGAAUUUUCAGGAUUGAGAGAGCUGACGAUCCAGGCUUGGAAUUCUUUAUCAACGACCAAACCUUAGUCAUGCCACGAGCAUUUGCAGUGAUAAUCAACACUUUCGAUGGACUUGAAGCAACCAUGUUAUCUAAACUGGCUUCUGUUUUUACCAAAAUGUACACUGUCGGUCCUUUACACGGUCUCUCCAAUGCCCGCGCGAAGGACCUAACAACUUCAGCAUCAAGCAACAGUAUUCUAUGGAAAGAAGAUAGAGGCUGCAUGCCUUGGCUUGAUUCUCAGCCGUCAAGAUCAGUUGUUUUUGUUAGCUUUGGGAGUUUAAUAGGCUUGACACGAGACAAAAUGCUUGAGUUCCGACAUGGCUUGGUGAAUAGUGGCUAUUCAUUUUUGUGGGUCAUUCGACCAGACUCAAUUACAGGAGAGGUUGAUCCAAGCCUGAUCCCAGGGGAGCUGAAAGCCAUGAUAGAAGACAACAAAGGAUUGAUGGUGAGUUGGGCUCCUCAAGAAGAGGUCUUGGCUCACCCAGCUAUCGGUGUGUUCUUAACCCACAGCGGAUGGAACUCGACCUUGGAGAGUGUAUAUGCAGGAGUACCCAUGAUUUGUUGGCCUGCAAUUGGUGACCAACAAAUCAACAGCAGGUUCGUGAGUGAUGUGUGGAAAAUCGGUUUUGACAUGAAAGAUUCGUGUGAUAGAUCAUUGAUUGAGAAAAUGGUGAGAGAUCUGAUGGAGGAUAAAAGAGAAGAGAUCAUGAAAUCAGUGAAUAAGAUUAAGAAGCUGGCUCAUGAAACUGUCAAGGAAGGGGGCUCUUCUUUCUCCAACCUUGAGAAAUUGAUUGAUGACAUUUGGUCAAUGAGUCAUUUUGCUCGGAAGGAAAGAAGUGACUAGAAGGCAUUAGCAUUUCACCAGUUAUAAAACAAUGUAUCCUAAAUAAUAAAUGUUAGUAGGCAUCCUAUAAAUAUUAUUG